rnacentral:rRNA from 1 species
CCUACGGGUGGCAGCAGUGAGGAAUAUUGGUCAAUGGACGAGAGUCUGAACCAGCCAAGUAGCGUGAAGGAUGACUGCCCUAUGGGUUGUAAACUUCUUUUAUAUGGGAAUAAAAUGUUCCACGUGUGGCUUUUUGUAUGUACCUUAUGAAUAAGGAUCGGCUAACUCCGUGCCAGCAGCCGCGGUAAUACGGAGGAUCCGAGCGUUAUCCGGAUUUGUUGGGUUUAAAGGGAGCGUAGGUGGUUUGUUAAGUCAGUUGUGAAAGUUUGCGGCUCAACCGUAAAAUUGCAGUUGAAACUGGCAGUCUUGAGUACAGUAGAGGUGGGCGGAAUUCGUGGUGUAGCGGUGAAAUGCUUAGAUAUCACGAAGAACCCCGAUUGCGAAGGCAGCUCACUGAACUGCAACUGACACUGAGGCUCGAAAGUGUGGGUAUCAAACAGGAUUAGAUACCCGGGUAGUC